GGAUAACCUGCCCUUGGGUCCGGCAUAACCCCGGGAAACUGGGGAUAAUACCGGAUAACGCACAUAUGCUGGAAUGCUUUAUGCGUAAAAUGGAUUCGUCUGCCCAAGGAUGGGUCUGCGGCCUAUCAGGUAGUAGUGGGUGUAAUGUACCUACUAGCCGACAACGGGUACGGGUUGUGAGAGCAAGAGCCCGGAGAUGGAUUCUGAGACAUGAAUCCAGGCCCUACGGGGCGCAGCAGGCGCGAAAACUUUACAAUGCGGGAAACCGUGAUAAGGGGACACCGAGUGCCAGCAUCAUAUGCUGGCUGUCCGGGUGUGUAAAAUACACUCGUUAGCAAGGGCCGGGCAAGACCGGUGCCAGCCGCCGCGGUAACACCGGCGGCCCGAGUGGUGAUCGUGAUUAUUGGGUCUAAAGGGUCCGUAGCCGGUUUGGUAGUCCUCCGGGAAAUCUGAUAGCUCAACUAUUAGGCUUUCGGGGGAUACUGCCAGACUUGGAACCGGGAGAGGUAAGAGGUACUACAGGGGUAGGAGUGAAAUCUUGUAAUCCUUGAAGGACCACCAGUGGCGAAGGCGUCUCACCAGAACGGACCUGACGGCAAGGGACGAAAGCUAGGGGCACGAACCGGAUUAGAUACCCGGGUAGUCCUAGCCGUAAACGAUACUCGCUAGGUGUCGGCCACGGUGCGACCGUUGUCGGUGCCGUAGGGAAGCCGUGAAGCGAGCCACCUGGGAAGUACGGCCGCAAGGCUGAAACUUAA
rnacentral:rRNA from 1 species